UGCUCUUCCAUUUCACGGAUUCAGCGUUGGUUCGGCCUACAGGAGAAGUUAACUGGAAGUCUUUGAAGAUCGAUAACUUUGCUGAGGUUGUCCAGGGUUACUUUUAAAAAGAAGAUUUCACUGAUCACAAGCCAGUAGAAGACUUUCAGCCCAAGCAAGGGUGAAGACAGCUCUCUCCAAGAGCAGAGGAAGUCCCUGUGGAGAGAACCCGAGCUUGUUAUCAGAACUUGUCAGCAUGUCUAAACAAGGAGACGAUUGCUACUUCUAUUUCUAUUCUACCCGUACCAAGGUAUGGCUGGGUUUCUUUUGCUUUGCCUUUUUUUUUUUUUUUUUUCCAUUUUUUUCAGGAAGGAGUAGAGUAGGAGGAGGAGGCACACUGGUCUUUGGUUAACUUGAUAACCAGCUAGAUUCUGAAUUCAAGGGUAGCAACCUGAGGCAGUAGCAUGGACGUUUUUGAGGCUGUACUAUAUUUUCCUUGUUGGUUUCCUUUUGGUUACAGGGAGACAACUGUUCCUUCCACCACUGCGAAGCUGCUCUGGGGA